CCUACGGGAGGCAGCAGUGGGGAAUAUUGGACAAUGGGGGCAACCCUGAUCCAGCCAUGCCGCGUGUGUGAAGAAGGCCCUCGGGUUGUAAAGCACUUUCAGUGAGGAAGAACGCCUGGUGGUUAAUACCCAUCAGGAAAGACAUCACUCACAGAAGAAGCACCGGCUAACUCCGUGCCAGCAGCCGCGGUAAUACGGAGGGUGCGAGCGUUAAUCGGAAUUACUGGGCGUAAAGCGCGCGUAGGUGGCUUGAUAAGCCGGUUGUGAAAGCCCCGGGCUCAACCUGGGAACGGCAUCCGGAACUGUCAAGCUAGAGUGCAGGAGAGGAAGGUAGAAUUCCAGGUGUAGCGGUGAAAUGCGUAGAGAUCGGGAGGAAUACCAGUGGCGAAGGCGGCCUUCUGGACUGACACUGACACUGAGGUGCGAAAGCGUGGGUAGCAAACAGGAUUAGAUACCCGGGUAGUC
rnacentral:rRNA from 1 species